UAGAUAAGGCUUCACACUACAGUACUAAAUUUAUACAAUUGAUCGUACUGAUAAUAGUGUAGUUGUUGGAGUUUCCCCAACUUAACCUAUGCAAACAAUUAAAGAAUUUGGGGAAAGAGGUGAUUCAUUACGGAAACGAUAUGAAAUGUCAGUUGAGAUCCUUUCAAUUUCAUUCUAAAUUCUUGUGUUGUGGCUUCAUUCCGAGAUUUUGCAGAAAUGAACAUUUCACAGUUAUAACUAUGCCAGUGAGUUGUUUACUUCCAUAAGCAUUCACACAAUAGGAUCAUCAGAUUGUGGGAGGAUCUCUAUUUCUCAUUAUACUGAAAGACUAGGCUCAGAAAUUGUAAAGCCUGCUAGAUUUCUUGUGCUAAGGAUUAAGGUGGAUCUCCAGUUUGGCUACUUUUUGGUUUCUGCAUGCAGCAAUAAUACCACAAGAAAUAAUAUUUUACUGUACAAACUUGAAUUACUAACUGAAAAACGUGCUUCUAUCAAAUUUAAUAUUGAUUUUUUCUUUGUUAUGCAUUAAUAAAAAAAGACCAUCCUUUCUCCUGGCACCAUAGCAAUUAGGAAACAGAAUACUCCAAAACAAAGUUAGUUAGCUGUAGCUUUUAAUUAACUAGAUUAUGUCCUGCACGUUGCUGGCAACCUGCCUCAUGUAGGAAGGAACUCAAGGAGGGACUGAAGUUUCCUGCGCAGAUUCAGGAGAAGCAAUUCCUUGAAGAAACGCAGUGGGCUGGAUGGUUACAGGAAAGGAGGGGGUUAAUGAGAAGUGGGGAGGCGAUGUGCUUAAAUGGAAUUGGAAAGACUGCGUGUGAAAAGACCGUUUGGGAUUUCAUUGUUGUUUGGCAGAAAAAGGUUUAAAAAGAAUAUAUGAUGUGGCACUGCUGCAUGUACUGCAAAAAUCAGUAGUGGGUGGCUCCUAUUUAGUUGUAGAAGAUAUAUCUGAUAAGGAGACACAGUAUUACACAUGGACUAUACUAGUUAUCAAUCUAAAUCUGACAUAUGUUCCACUGUUAGCUUAAUCCACUGCAAAAUACUUGUUUCGAUAUGUUUGAUGUCCUGCUGAUAUCAGUUUCGUUGAUGUAUAAACAUGUAUAGUUAGUAUAUUGCCUUCUGCCCCUCACACUUAAUGGUUUUGUAGAACCUUGCUGUUUCAAGCUGAUGUGAUAUUAUUAAAUUUUUGCUAGCUGGGUGUUGGAAAUUGUGGUCUGUUAACAGUAUAAUUGUUCGUCUCAUCCUACUAUAAUCUGAAGAUGUGGUUUUGUGUAAUAGUACUCAUGUUUUUAGGUAAACAGUGCUGAAGUUUGGUCACUAUGAUUAAUUCUGUUCAUUUUAUUGCCUAGAUUUGUUGGUCAUGAAUAUGAAAGGUGCGAGAAGAUUGCUGUUGCUGCUUCUUUAGAAUAGAAAUGUGUUGAAAUGGCUAUCUCAAGGCUGCAUACCACAAGUACCCUAUUCCAAGCAAGUAUCGCCAGGUGUUUCAGGCAGUUGUAAAGACACCAGGUCUUAAAAUAAAGUUUUAACGGCAGGUUUUGAUCCACCUAGAUCUCGAUGGCGCUGGAAACUCUAAUCGAAGAGACGAACUUGUGUUGUCACUGUGACUCUACAUUUUGUGCUGACUGCUCAAGAUUGCCAGGUAGCAGCCUAUUUGCUGUGUAAUGUACUGCUAUGCAGCCUACUCACAAGAGAUCCGUGAACCAUAUCUGAAUGGGGCAUCAGUUCCCAUUCCCUUCAAUGUACUUUUAAAAGGUUCAAAGUACUAUCUCUAUUUUUGUGCAAGGGGGACUUUGUUCUAGUAUUGACCAGUUGCUACUUUCGUAUUUGUUCAGGAGUUGGCUCAACUUGUGCACAAGGUCCAUUUGCUUUGCCGGCUAGCAAGGGUUGGGGUAGUUGACAUGGCUUGCAAUGGUCCUCUAAUUCAGGCUUCAGUUCUCUGUUUCACCACACGACUUGCUGUGGAAUGGUGUAGACAUUCAGAAACUGGACGCUAAUAACCUGCUUAGUCUUGUGAGCUGGGUAAGCCCUCUUUGGGCCUUACAUGUAUUUACAUAUUGUUCCCAUACAUUAUUUUCUUUCUUAAAUAAACGAAUAUAUUGUGCAUGUAGUUCUAUUGUACAUUCUGUGUAAUUGCAUGAUCUAGU